rnacentral:rRNA from 1 species
GGAUUGACGGACUGAAGGCUCUUUCUCGAUUCCGUGGAAAGUGGUGCAUGGCCGUUUUUGGUUGGUGGAUCGAUCCGUCUGGUUAAUUCCGUUAACGAACGAGACCUCGGCACUCCGAAUAGCGCGGCGGACGUCGCGGCCUCCGGGCCGUCUUCCGCACGAGCUUCUUAGAGGGACCGUCCCCCGCCGGGGAAGGAGGUGCGAGGCAACGACAGGUCUGUGAUGCCCUUAGAUGUUCUGGGCCGCACGCGCAUUACACUGACGCGUCCAACGGGUGACUCCCGACCCGAAGGGGCCGGGGAAUCCGCAAGGCGCGUCGUGAUGGGGAUUGAACGUUGCAAUUGUUGUUCACGAACGAGGAAUUCCUAGUAGGCGCGGGUCAUCAACCCGCGCCGAUUACGUCCCUGCCCUUUUGUACACACCGCCCGUC